UACGUAGGGUGCGAGCGUUAAUCGGAAUUACUGGGCGUAAAGCGUGCGCAGGCGGUUCGUUGUGUCGGUGGUGAAAUCCCCGGGCUUAACCUGGGAAUGGCCAUGGAAACUGGCGAACUGGAGUGCGGCAGAGGGGGGUGGAAUUCCGCGUGUAGCAGUGAAAUGCGUAGAGAUGCGGAGGAACACCGAUGGCGAAGGCGGCUCUCUGGGCCUUACCUGACGCUGAGGAGCGAAAGCGUGGGUAGCGAACAGG
rnacentral:rRNA from 1 species